rnacentral:rRNA from 1 species
CUUUUUGAGAGUUUGAUCCUGGCUCAGGAUGAACGCUGGCGGCGUGUCUAAGGCAUGCAAGUCGAACGCCCCGUAGCAAUACGGGGAGUGGCAAACGGGAGAGUAACACAUUGAUAACUUACCCCGAGGUCGUGAAUAAUCCUGCGAAAGCGGGCCUAAUACACGAUGAAAGUGGGGGGCCAAAAGGCAUUCCCACUUAAAGCUUGUCCUCGCGAAAGCGGGGAUCUGCGCCUCGGGAGAGGUCUAUGGCCUAUCAGCUUGUUGGUG